GGGGAAUAUUGCGCAAUGGGGGCAACCCUGACGCAGCCAUGCCGCGUGAAUGAAGAAGGCCUUCGGGUUGUAAAGUUCUUUCGGUAGCGAGGAAGGCAUUUAGUUUAAUAGACUAGGUGAUUGACGUUAACUACAGAAGAAGCACCGGCUAACUCCGUGCCAGCAGCCGCGGUAAUACGGAGGAUGCGAGCGUUAUCCGGAUUUAUUGGGUUUAAAGGGUGCGUAGGCGGCCUGUUAAGUCAGCGGUGAAAUCUAGGAGCUUAACUCCUAAAUUGCCAUUGAUACUGGCGGGCUUGAGUGUAGAUGAGGUAGGCGGAAUGCGUGGUGUAGCGGUGGAAUGCAUAGAUAUCACGCAGAACUCCGAUUGCGAAGGCAGCUUACUAAGGUACAACUGACGCUGAAGCACGAAAGCGUGGGUAUCAAACAGGAUUAGAUACCCUGGUAGUCCACGCCGUAAACGAUGAGCACUAGGUGUCGGGGUCGCAAGACUUCGGUGCCGCAGUUAACGCAUUAAGUGCUCCGCCUGGGGAGUACGCACGCAAGUGUA
rnacentral:rRNA from 1 species